rnacentral:lncRNA from 1 species
AGUCUUUGAGUGUGGUGGAGGCCAGGCAAGACAGCAGGCAUCCAGGCCAGGACCCAGCCUUAGGUUACACUUUGCAGGGAACGUCCAGAGGAACUUUAAGGGGUGCUGGACUCCGGCGGGCCUUCCCUGGGGAAUGGCCCUAAGAGAGCCACUAGAGCCGCUGACUUUCCUGGUCUCCAUAAAGCAGGGGCCCCUCUUCCUGCUGCAGUGGCCCUGCUCACCCAUGUGAGGAUGCACCAUGGUGCUAGGGUGUCUCAAGACUGGGCGACAGGUGAAUGGAGGAAAGAGAAGAGCGAAUCUUGUGAUCCACUGGGUGUGCGGUGUGACAGUGACAGGGACUGGGAACCUGGGAGCUUCUCAGCAUCUCCUUUUCACACUCUGCCUCUGAGCAGCUGGGAAUCCUUACCCCUCCAAUCUCCUGACUGCUCAUCUCCCUGGAGCCAGGACCCUGAAUCAGUAUUCACGGCCUGUUAGUGGCUUGCAAGGCAGAGCAGACAGAUGGACGUGCUCGGGAAGCCUAUUGAUCAGCCCUUGGUGUGACCUGCCCAGACCUGGUUCUGUUUCAAGCACUGAUCACGUGGACAAGGAGUCCUUAAUUCCUCUCAGCACCAUUUGAGAUGAGCAACUACACAAGACAAAGACGAAAGGCUUUUUCAGCUCAAAAAUCCUGUGAUUCUUUGAUUCUAAGAAGAGAUUUUCUUACAAGGAGUUUGCCUAAGUGUCCACACGGCUUGUGUCUCCUCCCAGCAGCCGGCCUGCUGGUGUGUGUGCUGUGUGUGGAGAGUGGCCUUAGGCCUGUGUUGUGAGUGAUGUCUGCAGAGCAUGGGGUUGAUUUGGAAGAAGGUGUGAUCCGAAGUUGUGUUUGACCUGAGCUCCUGUCACCCCUGAAGGCAGCAGAGGAUCUCCUGUCAGUGACCCAGGAGGACAGCUUUCUGAAGGACAUUCUGCCCAUUGCACAGAGGGGCUUUUGUGAUUGGUUUGCCCAGAUGUGACUUUUUCCCCUACCUUUGAAGGCCUAGAUUGGGUUUCCCAUUUCUUGGCCCUUUGGAAAGGCCAAUGGCUCCCUGUCUGACAGGCUGCCCUGAGCAGCAGGUGCUCCAUUUAGACCCAGGCUGCCCCAAUCCCAGCUCUGAUCUGACUCUCAGCUCUGAGGCUCCAUUGAGUCCCUGGGCCUCAGGGACCCUGUUCAGGCUUUGCUGAUGGUGGCAUCAAGUGACCUCCGAGCCACCUCCACGUUGGCUCAGACUGAGGAAACUGGUGAUCUUGUCUUGCUGUUUGCAAUACUUGAAGACAAAAACAGAACUUGUGCUGCAUUCUCAAGAAAGAAGAGACAACUGUUCCUGUACCUCACUCUUGUAGAUAUCUGUAUGAAGAAGCAGUGAUGGGUGCAUGCAAGCUAGGGAGCAUCAAGGCUCCCACUGCGUGGGCGCCAGCUGACCCCUGACCUCGUUUUCAUCUGUUGCUCUGGUCAUGGCUCUGAGAUCUGGGCAACCUGAGCCAGCUUGUGCAUUCCUUACCCUUGUGCUUUUGCACUAUCCAUCCCUGUCCCCUAGAACUCCCUCCAGUACAGUCUGCUCCACCCCAUCCCAUCCCAUCCCAUCCCAUGCCAUCCCAUCCCCUCACCUCACUCCAUCCUACCCCAUCCUACCACAUCCCACCCCAUCCCAUUCCAUCCCAGCCCACACCACCCC